rnacentral:hammerhead_ribozyme from 1 species
CCCCUGACGAGCCGCUAAACAAGGCGAAACGCGCGUCGGG